UGCAUUUGAAUUAGAAGCCCCACUUUCACCCAUGAUCACCUUAUCACUUUGUAUAUUUUCAGCCAUGUAUGAAUCACUGCAACAACAAAAGAAAAGGAACACACGCAAGGAUAAUUCCAAAAUUAGUAUAGAUAUCCAUAAAUUAAAGCAACUAAAGACUGAAAAGUGUCAAAGUGUUGGAGAGAUUAUCUAGCCUUAAGGUUAUUGAGGUUUAUAUUACAACAAAAUACAAAUAUUGUCAUUUUUUCGCAUUUUUCAUAGAAAUUAAAGUUAUUGCAGGAAAAAAAUUGACGUUUACCUUAUAAUCUAUUAGCACUAAAGUCCCCAACUCCUUGAAAUAAAUUAUUUGUAUCUCAAAAAUGUUAAAAUCUAUAUUGAACCUAAAUUAUCUCGGUAUUUUUUUUAUUUUCCAUCCGAUGUUUAACUUGAUAUUUAUUGCCUUCACAUUUAUUUCUUAAAAUGAUUAUCAGGUGAAAACAUUAUUUUGACAGAGUACCUGGACAUUUCCGACGAGUCGACGACCGAUAAGAAGAGUACCUGGAGAAAUGGAGAGACGAGAUGGCGAGAGGAGGGAGACCGACAACUGCUGGAAGUAGACGACGACGAGCGGAGGCGGAAAGGAUUAGUGGCUACUGGCUGGCGGCGGCUGGUGUUAGGGUUUCUCUGUUCUCAGUCUCAAACUCUCAACUUUCUGUCUUUCACUCUUUCUCUAGAAU
rnacentral:lncRNA from 1 species